UUUUAAAAAAUAUUUAUAUUUUACAGUUUAUAAUUGUUAAUAAGUAACGCUAUACCAUGAAACCAUGAGACAAUUGUUAAAAAAACUGAAGUUUUAACCCUUAUUAAAACAACAGAUUAAUAAUAUUUUAAAAUUUUAUAAAUAUUGAUUCAAAUACAUCCACCAUAUAACCCUAUUCCAAAAUAAAACCCGUUAUAUAAUUUCUUUACCCGUCCCGUGAAUUUUUUUUGAAGUAGUAAUUUUUAAAAUUUAAGAAUU
rnacentral:sRNA from 1 species